rnacentral:rRNA from 1 species
GACGAACGCUGGCGGCGUGCCUAAUACAUGCAAGUUGAGCGCUGAAGGUUGGUACUUGUACCAACUGGGUGAGCAGCGAACGGGUGAGUAACGCGUGGGGAAUCUGCCUUUGAGCGGGGGACAACAUUUGGAAACGAAUGCUAAUACCGCAUAAAAACUUUAAACACAAGUUUUAAGUUUGAAAGAUGCAAUUGCAUCACUCAAAGAUGAUCCCGCGUUGUAUUAGCUAGUUGGUGAGGUAAAGGCUCACCAAGGCGAUGAUACAUAGCCGACCUGAGAGGGUGAUCGGCCACAUUGGGACUGAGACACGGCCCAAACUCCUACGGGAGGCAGCAGUAGGGAAUCUUCGGCAAUGGACGAAAGUCUGACCGAGCAACGCCGCGUGAGUGAAGAAGGGUUUCGGAUCGUAAAACUCUGCUGGUAGAGAAGAACGUUGGUGAGAGUGGAAAGCUCAUCAAGUGACGGUAACUACCCAGAAAGGGACGGCUAACUACGUG